CCAUUGGUCUGGCCCCAGAUGACUCACCAACCAUCUUCCCCUCCACCUUGCUCCCUCCCACAUACACCCUCCCCACUGCAUGGCGCCAUCAGUCAAGCAAGACCUCCAGAGAGGAAGGAGAAGAGAAGCUGGCCAGAGAGGCUCUGGGUGGGGACACAGUGCAGAGCUGGCCCUGGUGUCAUCCUGUGCCUCAGACCAGCCCCAGGUCAGCCUCGGUCCCUUUUCCCACCAGCAUUUGGGACCACCAUGACUCCUGCCCUUUCAGCCUUCCUGUGCCUGGACUCCCCAAACCCUUCCUCAAGGCAGAGAGUGGCUCUCUGGUACCCUGAGCCGGAGCUGUGACCCUCAGGUGCAGGGGAUCAUGGGAGGCUGAAUACUGGAGGCUGGAGAAAAGGGGAGAAUCUGGAUGGUCACUGAUCAAAGCUGUGAGACAAGCUGGAAAUGAGGGCGAGUUUUCCCUCCCAUCUGUGACACCACAUGAUGCUGGGACCUACCGAUGCCUCUACAGAGAUUCAUCCUACAGGUGGUCAGAGUGCAGUGACCCCCUGCAGCUGGUGGUCACAGGUAAGGCAGAUUCUCCCCCCCAGGCAGGGCUGGCUCAGGGUCUCCACAGCUCUGGGUCCCUCCCCAGCCCAGCCUGGCCCCGAGUGUCCCUCUGGCUCUGCCCUUUCUGGCUUCUCCCCUGUGCCUGCCUCAG
rnacentral:lncRNA from 1 species